GACGAACCGUGCGAACGUUAUUCGGAAUCACUGGGCUCAAAGCGCGUGUAGGCGGGAGGGCACGUCCGUCGCUGAAAUCCCCCGGCUCAACCGGGGAACGGGCGCGGAUACGACCUUCCUGGAGGGGCGUAGGGGGACCUGGAACUUCCGGUGGAGCGGUGAAAUGCGUUGAGAUCGGAAGGAACGCCCGUGGCGAAAGCGGCUUCCUGGACCGACACUGAUGCUGAGGCGCGAAAGCUAGGGGAGCAAACGGG
rnacentral:rRNA from 1 species